AGGUUUGGAGCACACCUGCACUGAUUGGCACCAGCACCUUCGCACCUGCACGUCAUCGCAGCAAUCACCACACUCUCUUAAGCCUCGCGCAGAGACAACUCCAGCGCCAGAUGAUUCCUGCUCUCUAAGUGUGUCUCCACGUGCCUUCAGUGCUCCGCUCAACCUCUGCCACGCUGCCACACUCUCGCACCAGACCCACUCUCAAGCCGCACCCGCUCCUCCUCACUCACAAGCCUUCAUGUCUCACUGGAUCCCUCACUCACUCCCCGGACCUGGAUUCCCUCCUCCCUCACGUCCGUGUUUCCCUAAUAAAACCUUUUAAACUGCUUCAGCUGUCUUCAGCUCUACUUCAAGACAAUUUUAUAUUGGUCUCAGAGAUCCUCAAAACAUGCCUGUGGAGUUUGUUGCUGAAAAAACAUUCCAGUAUUGGAUUUUUGCAUGUCUAAAAACCCCUCUGUGUCAGCCCUGCUCAGAACGAGCUGUUUCUGCUUCUGUGGCUUUAAAUGUUACUGAGCUGUUUGACUCCGUCCCUCUUAGGAAAUGGAUGUGGCUAGGAGAAGAGGGCUGAACUUUCUUCCCAGCGGGGAUGGCCAACUCACCACAUAACAUCAUGAGGGGUCGGAGAGUAUCACACCACAGGAAUCUGGCAAGAUAAUCUCUAGAACCAUCAGCUGGAGGUGCCUCUGGUCCAGCAGGCGGUAAGGAAGCUCCAGCUUGGUUUUCACCCCACAGGAGAGUUACCACCGGGGGCUGAUAGAUGGUGAAGAGGCAGAUCUCUGCAGGGAUCCCUGGAUCUACCCUGCAGCUCCUCUCCUUCCUCUCCCUCCCAACUGCUGGGUCAGGACAGAGACAAACUCCCUACAUAGCCUCCUCUCACACAAACACUUAGGAAUAGAAAUGUUCACACUAUGAUCGCCUGACUCAGUCAUCUCCCUGUGUUGCGGUGUAGAAGGGAGGCCUCCCUGGGCAGCUUUGGUCAGGCUUCUGAUUUUAUAUUAAUGAUGCUCUUAAUUUUGUUUUCUGGGAAUAAAUAAUCCAGUUUGGCUCUUUUUCCCCCACUGUUAUGCUGAGGUCAGACUACACAAUACAGUGCCUAUGAAAUGAUGUUAAACACUUCUAUUGAUGUUA